rnacentral:lncRNA from 1 species
CGCUUUUAUGCUUGGGUAGGCGGCACCCAGUAUAUGUAGUCCGCGUUACUAUGUAUGGGUAGGCGGCACCCAAUACGUGUGGUCCGCAUUUCGUAUGCCUGGGUAGGCGGCACCCAGUAAUUGUUUUGCUAUUUAAUAUUGGAUAUUAAAUAUAAGCAAUUAAUAUCACAUGCUAAAUCCCCAUUAAAUAUAAGUCUUUGUGUGAGCACAAAACGCGUCGUCCAUCAUAAUUGUCUGAGCAACC